rnacentral:rRNA from 1 species
GACGAACGCUGGCGGCGUGCCUAAUACAUGCAAGUCGAGCGGACUUUCAAGAAGCUUGCUUUUUGAAAGUUAGCGGCGGACGGGUGAGUAACACGUGGGCAACCUGCCUGCAAGACGGGGAUAACUCCGGGAAACCGGGGCUAAUACCGGAUAAUAUCUUCCUUCGCAUGAAGGAAGGUUGAAAGGCGGCGCAAGCUGCCGCUUGCAGAUGGGCCCGCGGCGCAUUAGCUAGUUGGUGAGGUAACGGCUCACCAAGGCGACGAUGCGUAGACGACCUGAGAGGGUGAUCGGCCACACUGGGACUGAGACACGGCCCAGACUCCUACGGGAGGCAGCAGGAGGGAAUCUUCCGCAAUGGACGAAAGUCUGACGGAGCAACGCCGCGGGAGCGAAGAAGGGCUUCGGAUCGUAAAGCUCUGUUGUCAGGGAAGAACAAGUACCGUUCGAACAGGGCGGUACCUUGACGGUACCUGAACAGAAAGCCACGGCUAACUACGUG